UUUGCCUUCGAAUAACUGGAUGUGGAAAUUUGAGACCACAUUCGGUUCAGACAAGGGCAUACAACAAAUAUAUGAGGGGAACUGUGUUGGAAUUUAUUUCUUUCACAUUUCCAUGUACUCUUGAAUCGAUCUUGAUUGAAAGGAAUGAUUUUCCUUUCUAAAGAUUGUUCUAACAUUU